rnacentral:rRNA from 1 species
AACGAACGCUGGCGGCAGGCCUAACACAUGCAAGUCGAGCGAAGCCUUCGGGCUUAGCGGCGGACGGGUGAGUAACGCGUGGGAACGUGCCCUUUGGUACGGAAUAGCCCCGGGAAACUGGGAGUAAUACCGUAUGUGGUCGAGAGACGAAAGAUUUACCGCCAAAGGAUCGGCCCGCGUUGGAUUAGGUAGUUGGUGGGGUAAUGGCCUACCAAGCCGACGAUCCAUAGCUGGUUUGAGAGGAUGAUCAGCCACACUGGGACUGAGACACGGCCCAGACUCCUACGGGAGGCAGCAGUGGGGAAUCUUAGACAAUGGGGGAAACCCUGAUCUAGCCAUGCCGCGUGGUCGAUGAAGGCCUUAGGGUUGUAAAGAUCUUUCAGUGGGGGAGAUAAUGACUGUACCCACAGAAGAAGCCCCGGCUAACUCCGUGCCAGCCGCCGCGGUAAAAC